AGUGAACGCUGGCGGCAGGCCUAAUACAUGCAAGUCGAACGGCAGCACAGCAGAGCUUGCUCUGUGGGUGGCGAGUGGCGGACGGGUGAGGAAUACGUGGGAAUCUGCCCAGUCGUGGGGAUAACGUAGGGAAACUUACGCUAAUACCGCAUGCGCCUUCGGGGAAAGCCGGGGGACCUUCGGGCCUGGCGCGAUUGGAUGAGCCCACGUCGGAUUAGCUAGUUGGCGGGUAAGGCCCACCAAGGCGACGAUCCGUAGCUGGUCUGAGAGGAUGAUCAGCCACACUGGAACUGAGACACGGUCCAGACUCCUACGGGAGGCAGCAGUAGGGAAUAUUGGACAAUGGGCGCAAGCCUGAUCCAGCCAUGCCGCGUGAGUGAAGAAGGCCCU
rnacentral:rRNA from 1 species